UACGAAGGGGGCUAGCGUUGCUCGGAAUCACUGGGCGUAAAGGGUGCGUAGGCGGGUCUUUUAAGUCAGGGGUGAAAUCCUGGAGCUCAACUCCAGAACUGCCUUUGAUACUGGCGAUCUUGAGUCCGGGAGAGGUGAGUGGAACUGCGAGUGUAGAGGUGAAAUUCGUAGAUAUUCGCAAGAACACCGGAGGCGAAGGCGGCUCGCUGGGCCUGAUCUGACGCUGAGGCGCGAAGGCGUGGGGGAGCGAACAGG
rnacentral:rRNA from 1 species